GGCUGUGUAGCUCAGCGGUAGAGCAGAGGAAUCAUAAUCCUUUGGUCGGGAGUUCAAAUCUCUCCACCGCUA
rnacentral:tRNA from 1 species